GACAGGUCGGUGUAUGAAAGUGCUGAUCCUCAACUCGCUAAUCCAUGACAGACCAGUCAACGCUUCUCUGCCCGGUCCCCAGCCGCCAGGCUGCUGGCUGUCCCCGGCCCUGCCGCUGAGCGUGCAGGCGAUCACCUCUGGAAGGGGUUAGGGCUGUCCCGGCGCAAAGGCCACCGCAGCACCCCCCUCCCGUGCCUGCCAUCGGGCUGUGAACUUUCCGGUGGGGUAAGUUCUCCUUUAAGAAAGCGAACUGUUCCUUAUGCAUAUUUAAGGCUGUUUGUCGGCAGUGCCCAGCUGACACGGGGCUGGGAGCUCACACGCGGGACCCGAGCUCUGGAGGAGUAAAUCAUCCCCACUUUAAACGCUCCCUCUGCCAGGGCUGUAGUUGAGAGCUCCUUGCCAUUGCUCUAAACACAUGAGAGCGCUUUGCUGGGUGCGCAAGUGUGCGUGUGAGGAGCGGAGAAGAGCGCCGGGAGGCUGCUGUUUCGAACACAGUUUCAAAGACGAAGGCGAGAAGGCUAAACCGGCGAAAUGUUGUCCCGGUGCCCGCGUCAGGUCACACAAAGGAGAUUGGGACAAUAGCUGGAGUGGAUUAUUCAUUCCCGUAGGCAAUACUUCCCUGUAUGGGCUUCAGGAUGCAGUUGGAAGCUUGGGAACAAAGCGGGCGUCGAAUGUCAAGGCUUCUUUUGAGGAAGAAAUAGCUCUGCUGGGACCCCAUGCCUGGACUUUGGAGGGCAUGGCGCAGUGCUCUGAUAUGAAAGCACUGUCCCUGCAGAUGGAAACUCUCCUCUGUAUCCUGUGCCUUGCAAGACAGGCAGCGAGGGGACAUUGAAGUAACCAAGCAUCUGGCAUCAAGCCUGACAAUCCACUUCACACUAUGUGAAGGAAAGUUUGUUCCAAACCACAUACUUUCUGGUGCUCAGCACUGGUGUCAAACUGGUUUGAACUGUCCCAAGUCUAAAAUAAAGAUCUCCAUUGUGGUAUGCCA
rnacentral:lncRNA from 1 species